AUGAUUUAUCUUGUUUAUCUCAGGGUGAGUCCUCGGGGUACAGGCUGGGUCCUGUCCACUGCACCACAGGUCCACGAAAUCUUUUGCCUCCAGCAGAGCUUCUUUGCAUCUCAAGAUAGUGGUCCGCACUUGCUGUCUGCAUGUACUAACUCUCAUUCCCUCCAGGGCCAAUUUCGGCCUGGCUUCUGGCCCUUUCAUCCCCACGCCCCGAACAGCUGUCAUGAGGACUCCAAAAAUUACAUAUCAUUGAUUGCAAUACACCCCCCCCUUUUUUUAAACUUUGUUUUUAUGGGAUUUCUUACCAACAUGGCCUCUUGGCCAUUUCCCCCAUGGCACAUCUCUGUCCUCUCUCAUUCUUCCUUAACUUUCCCUGUAACCUUUCCUGGGCUCAUCCUCCUCUGCCAGAUGGUUAUGUGUCAGAGGUGAGCAGGUCUUUUGUCCUGAGCCCUCUCUUGCUCUACCUCUGCCAAGUGUCCUCCCAAGCUACCUUACUCAAUCCCACACUUUCGUGGAGAAACGCCUGUUAAUGAUUCAUGUGGGAGAGUAACAGGAUGGAACCGUUAACCAGACGCUCAAUGUACCCAGUCCUCAUUACAUCCCUAGGAGGUAGAUCUUAAUAUUCUUAUUCCCCUUCAACAGAUAAGAAAACCAAGGCAUAUAAAGAUUAAGGAACUUGCCCAAGUUCAACAUCUCGGGUGUAGCAGAGAUAGGAUUUAAUCCCAUCCCUCUGUGCUCUUAAACUUUACACUCGUUACAUAAUCUCCUGAGCUCUGGAUCUGUUUAUGCACCUGCCUCUUUGUGUGUUUUCAAGCUCAACACACCUGAAACUAAAUAUAACGUUGGAAACUUGGUCCUUGUUAGGCAAUCCGUGUGCCUUUGGACGGCACCAUCUGUCAGAAACCCCAGAGUCAUUGCAGUCGUUCCACAGGCAUUGGAAUCAACACGCAUGGACACCUAAACUUGGCAGGAGGAGACACUGAACCAAUCCACAGGCUUUGACUCACUGCACUAGCACCACAGACCGUCUGAGGACCUACUAUUGAGUUUAGAGCAUCCUUCAGGUCACAAGACGGCACUGGAGCUGAAUGUUGCAGUGAAGUUUCGGGAGAAAAAAAAGACAGUGAAAAACAAGGCCAAGCAAAGUCUAGAGCUGAGACCUUGUCCCGAUGGAAAGUUUGAGAGAACAGCCCCCCAACUCCCACUUUCCACUUCUCCUGGUCAGGUGGACCCACUGUCCUUGCCUCUGUCUCGUUUAGAGUCACAGGUGUCCUGUGGUCGUCGUUGCUCUGUGGCAGACUUGACGUAUCUUUUCAUCACUCCAUGCCAUUUGAACCACCUUUGCUAGCUCCUCUGUACACCCCCAGACAACGGCAAAGUUCCCUUUUUAACAUUGGCCUGGGGUAGAAGGAAAUGGUCAGUAGCCAAGCAUUCUGGACCACGCAGCUCCAUCAUGAAAGGAUACAUAGUGACAUCAUAGAAAGGAAGGUUGGUGUAGGGCAUAGGACAGGAAGAUCCAAAGGACCCGUGUGGUUUGGCCAAGUGUGAUUAUUUUUUUUUUUAUGUACACCAGUACAAAAUACAGUUGCUAGAUAAAAUAUAAGGCACCCAUUUAAAUUUGAAUUUCACAUAAAUAUGGAACAUACACCGAAAAAAAUUAUGUGUUGUUUAUCUGACAUUCAAAUUUAACUGAGUAUCCCGUGGUGGUUUUAUUUGCCAAGUAUGGCAACCUUAGUACAAAGUAAUCCCUGUGUCAUAUAUGGGCUUCCAGUACCUGAUUGUCUGUGCAGUACACGAUUGAUCCCAGUGGUCAGGAAUAAAUAUGUAAUGAUAAUGUUUCUCUAGGACCA
ensembl:lncRNA